rnacentral:rRNA from 1 species
UACGUAGGUGGCAAGCGUUGUCCGGAAUUAUUGGGCGUAAAGCGCGCGCAGGCGGUUUCUUAAGUCUGAUGUGAAAGCCCGCGGCUCAACCGGGGAGGGGCAUUGGAAAAUGGGGAACUUGAGUACUGAAGAGGAAAGCGGAAUUCCACGUGUAGCGGUGAAAUGCGUAGAGAUGUGGAGGAACACCAGUGGCGAAGGCGGCUUUCUGGUCAGUAACUGACGCUGAGGCGCGAAAGCGUGGGGAGCAAACAGG